AGAGUUUGAUCAUGGCUCAGAGCGAACGCUGGCGGCAGGCCUAACACAUGCAAGUCGAACGGAUCCUUCGGGAUUAGUGGCGGACGGGUGAGUAACACGUGGGAACGUGCCCUUUGGUUCGGAAUAACUCAGGGAAACCUGAGCUAAUACCGGAUGUGCCCUUCGGGGGAAAGAUUUAUCGCCAUUGGAGCGGCCCGCGUCUGAUUAGCUAGUUGGUGAGGUAAAGGCUCACCAAGGCGACGAUCAGUAGCUGGUCUGAGAGGAUGAUCAGCCACACUGGGACUGAGACACGGCCCAGACUCCUACGGGAGGCAGCAGUGGGGAAUCUUGCGCAAUGGGCGAAAGCCUGACGCAGCCAUGCCGCGUGAAUGAUGAAGGUCUUAGGAUUGUAAAAUUCUUUCACCGGGGACGAUAAUGACGGUACCCGGAGAAGAAGCCCCGGCUAACUUCGUGCCAGCAGCCGCGGUAAUACGAAGGGGGCUAGCGUUGCUCGGAAUUACUGGGCGUAAAGGGAGCGUAGGCGGACAGUUAAGUCAGAGGUGAAAGCCCAGGGCUCAACCUUGGAAUUGCCUUUGAUACUGACUGUCUUGAGUAUGGGAGAGGUGUGUGGAACUCCGAGUGUAGAGGUGAAAUUCGUAGAUAUUCGGAAGAACACCAGUGGCGAAGGCGACACACUGGCCCAUUACCGACGCUGAGGCUCGAAAGCGUGGGGAGCAAACAGGAUUAGAUACCCUUGUAGUCC
rnacentral:rRNA from 1 species